AUUGAACGCUGGCGGCAGGCCUAACACAUGCAAGUCGAACGAGUGGCGGACGGGCGAGUAAUGUCUGGGAAACUGCCCGAUGGAGGGGGAUAACUACUGGAAACGGUAGCUAAUACCGCAUACUAUCGGAUGUGCCCAGAUGGGAUUGGCUAGUGGGUGGGGUAAUGGCUCACCUAGGCGACGAUACCUAGCGGGUCUGAGAGGAUGACCAGCCACACUGGGACUGAGACACGGUCCAGACUCCUACGGGAGGCAGCAGUGGGGAAUAUUGCACAAUGGACGAAAGCCUGAUGCAGCCAUGCCGCGUGUAUGAAGAAGGCCGUCGGGUUGUAAAGUACUUUCAGCGGGGAGGCGUUACUCGCAGAAGAAGCACCGGCUAACUCCGUGCCAGCCGCCGCGGUAAUUC
rnacentral:rRNA from 1 species